ensembl:lncRNA
GAGGUAUGACCCUGAAGGUAAGCGAGUCAUGGACUAAAGUAAAACAGUAUGUUGGAUGUGCCACGCAAUGCUCAAUUACAUGGGUGGGAACUAGUGUGUUAGCGCAUUUAGCUCGUUAACGUGUUGGCCGUCUAGCCCCACGCACGGGGCGAUCAGGGGUAGCUCGUUAACGGAGAUUUGCCGUGUUGUGGCGUUAACGUCAUUUCAAUGAGAUUAACGCUGACAGCACUAGUGGGAACACAACGAAUAUGACUGCACGUUUACGCCGACAUCAUCCUAGUGCAAAGACAAGUGGAAGCAGACAAAAACAACAAGCAUGCAUGCUACAAACUUUACUCGAGUCAUUUAGACAGCCGUUAGCACAUGAUUCUCCUUAUGGGGACCUGAUAUGUUUAAUAUUGUGGCAAGCUCAGACAAGGUGGAGAUGGAGGUGUCCAUAGCUGGACUGGCCAUCGGGCAUACCGGGCAUUUGCCCGGUGGGCCGCUGGCGAUUUUUUGUUUUUAUGGGCCGAUGGAUUUUUUUUUUUAGGAAGGGUAUAUAUAAUGAAAGGUGCUGGAUUGGCCAAUUGGUCAUGAUCGACUCUGGGCUGGACCAAUUACAGCCGAGGAGGCCGACUGCACCCGCCCCCUUGUUUAGCAAUCACGUGAUUUUCGCGCAUCGCAUGCCGGGAAAUCGUGGCAAAACAAUCCAAGUACCGCAUCAAAUGCAAGCAUUUGCAGCACCGCAAAACGUUCAUUCUCCGGUUCCAAUACCUUCUUGUUUUUUCUUUGCCGCACAAAAAAGGAAUGUACAAAACAAAAGGAGAACAAUGCCGGUCCGUACAAAGACAGACUCGACGAAAAGACAAAGAAAAGAUACGAGGAAAAAAAUCAAAGGAGUGAAAGGGUCAGACCCUUACGAGCACACAGAGGGACAAAAGACGUCAGUGUGCUGCCCAACUUUCACCACGCUCAGAUUUAUAAUUAUACGGUUCUUGGAGUGAGUGCAUACACUCAUGAAGUUUAGUAACUUCAGGUCACUGCAACAAGCCCAGGUACAGUUUACCCACGGAUGGGUGCAGGACCUUGAAACGCAC